rnacentral:rRNA from 1 species
CAGUAGCCACGGUAAUACGUAGGUGGCAAGCGUUGUCCGGAAUUAUUGGGCGUAAAGGGCUCGCAGGCGGUUUCUUAAGUCUGAUGUGAAAGCCCCCGGCUCAACCGGGGAGGGUCAUUGGAAACUGGGAAACUUGAGUGCAGAAGAGGAGAGUGGAAUUCCACGUGUAGCGGUGAAAUGCGUAGAGAUGUGGAGGAACAUCAGUGGCGAAGGCGACUCUCUGGUCUGUAACUGACGCUGAGGAGCGAAAGCGUGGGGAGCGAACAGGAUUAGAUACCCCGGUAGUCCCUGUCUCUUAUAC